UACGUAGGGUGCAAGCGUUGUCCGGAAUUAUUGGGCGUAAAGGGCAUGCAGGCGGUCGGACGCGUUUCGGGUGACAGCGGGUGGCUUAACUACCCGAGUGGUCGAAAGACGGUUUGACUUGAGGACGCGAGAGGGACACGGAAUUCCGGGUGGAGUGGUGAAAUGCGUAGAGAUCCGGAGGAACACCGAAGGCGAAGGCAGUGUCCUGGCGCGUAACUGACGCUGAGGUGCGAAAGCCAGGGGAGCGAACGGG
rnacentral:rRNA from 1 species